rnacentral:miRNA from 1 species
GAGCAAAAAGAUCUCAGUCAGUGAUCCUCUAGAAGGAAGCGCUUUCUGUUGUUUGAAAGAAAAGAAAGUGCGUCAUUUUAGAGGAUUACAGUUUGAGAAAAGCAACAGUGAAGUUG